ensembl:lncRNA
AUGCGGACCGCUCUGCUUCUCGCGGUGUUCUCGUGCUUUUCUCUUAUCGAGGGAAAGCCAUUCGAAGAUAAAACGUGUGUUGGAAUUCGCAGAGAAGAUUCGUCCUAUGACUUUGACCUGCCCGACGCUGUGGCCGUGAACUUGCAAGACCUCACCUGUGAUGCAGAGUGGACCAUUGAUCAAUUCACAGCUAUCCUGGAUGGAAAUUCAGCAUACUUUUCACAUCCCUUCAAAAACGUAACCCGUAAUGGAAUGACUUACUGUCCAUUUUCAGUCAUAUUCCAUGCCUCUUGUCUUAAUUAUGUCAAUCACUUUACAUGUUCUUGCACCAAUUCCACCAACAUCUAUCCAGUGUUUAGCACAACUCUGCCAUCUAGAGUUCAGAAAUUCCUCACAAAACAGAAGAAUAACAGUAGUAAUAAUUAUCCUCAUUUCGAUGUUGGUCGAGGUUAUGGAAUCGCAGACUGCAAAAACAAUAUGUUGCCAUUGCUGUUGCUGCCAUUUUUGUCAUAACCCUUGUCAUUUUGGCUUUCCACUCUGCAAG